AACGAACGCUGGCGGCGCGCCUAACACAUGCAAGUCGAACGAGAAGGCGUAGCAAUACGCUUGUAGAGUGGCGAACGGGUGAGUAAUACGUGGGUGACCUACCCUCGAGUGGGGAAUAACCCGCCGAAAGGCGGGCUAAUGCCGCGUACGCUUCCGUCCUCACGGGGACGGAAGGAAAGCUGUACCGUGGGUACGGCGCUCAAGGAUGGGCUCACGUCCUAUCAGCUUGUUGGUGGGGUGAUGGCCUACCAAGGCGACGACGGGUAGCCGGCCUGAGAGGGCCGACCGGCCACACUGGGACUGAGACACGGCCCAGACUCCUACGGGAGGCAGCAGUGGGGAAUCUUGCGCAAUGGGCGAAAGCCUGACGCAGCGACGCCGCGUGAGGGAUGACGGCCUGGU
rnacentral:rRNA from 1 species